rnacentral:lncRNA from 1 species
GCUGACUCUCUUUUCGGACUCAGCCUGCUUGCUCCCAGGUGAAAUAAACAGCCAUGUUGCUCACACAAAGCCUGUUUGGUGGUCUCUUCACAGGGACACGCAUGAAAUUUGGUGCCGUGACUCAGAUCGGGGGACCUCCCUUAGGAGAUCAAUCCCCUGUCCUCCUGUUCUUUGCUCCGUGAGAAAGAUCCACCUAUGACCUCAGGUCCUCAGACCGACCAGCCCAAGAAACAUCUCACCAAUUUUAAAUCAGACCUUGAAGAUUUGUUGUUCAAGGAGAAACUGAAGAGCAAGAAGGAAAGUGAGAGCCAGCAAUACCAGCAGAGCCAGAUCUGAGCUGGGAGAAGGGGAGAAAGUUUGUGAAGAGGAGAUCGGUGACCUGGGCUCCUUAUGUGCCUGAAAGAGUGAGUUUCCUGUUAACUCCAAAUCAACAGUAUUUUCAACAAGAAAUGUGCAAUUGAAAUCAAGUGCUGUUUAAGUGCAGCUAGGAUUUCCACAGGAAGACACUGGUAGUGAACAGAGUUAUGGAGCAGCAAAAACACAGAUCUAUUUGGAAAAAGAGAAAACAUAUGCGUUGUAUUUUGCUUCAAUUAUAAAAUACCAUCCUCUCAAAGGUGGUUCUAAAUUACAAAGGACUUUGAUUUCUAGGUAGAUUCUGGGUAGAGACUUCCUUUCAUAUUGAGGCAUUAAUGACACCUUUUAACCUGGGAAGCAAUAUGACUGGAGUUGUACUUUGAGAAGAUUAAUCAGGUUUGGUUGCAGAAUGAAAGAGAAGAUGAAGUCAAGAGAUUGGUUUAGAGGCUCUAGCAGAAGCUUAGUCAUAUUUCAAAAUGAUCAAAUAUCAAGAAAAACAAUUCUGAGCUGCAUAACUUGUAUAAAGUAAUUUUCAGUGAUUUUUUUCAUGGUUAUGAUAAAAGAACUGGAUUAGCAGAAACUUUUACCCUGAAUCAAGAUUUAAUUUGUCUUUGAGCUCAUCUUAAUGAUAUCGGAACAUAGGGAGCAAACGAUGGUGUGGCUGCCUCAGUGCUUGAUUUUUAACGGUUUUGAAGAGAAUAGUUACAUUUCUUCUCCUAGUAAGAACUAAUAAAUACAGUAACAGAAAUGAAUACCCUAUACUUUUGUACACUGGUCUAUUUCUUCAAAACAUUAAAUACUAUUGAUAAGAU